CAGACGGGAGCGGUCUCACCACAUGGACUAAUAGUGUAUUGUGACAUUUUAAAAUUGCUUAAUAUACCAACAUUAGAAAAUCGUUGUUUAAUGCUAGAUUUGGUUUGUCUUUUCAAGAUUGUAAAGGGAAUGAUAGAUUCGCCUCAAAUUUUGCAGAGAAUAGGUCUUAGGAUUCCUCAAAGGUGCACAAGAUCUAAGGACGUUUUUCACUUAGAAUUCCAACAAACAAACUAUUGUUUAAAUAGACCUAUAAGACGAAUGUGUCAAUCUGGAAAUGGUUUAGAUGUAGACUUUUUUUCUAGCUCUCUGAAUAGUUUUCGAAAAAAGCUGAAAAAAUCUUUUUAAAAUACAAUGUAGGCUGUCACUGUAAACUGUCAUUUAGGUAUUUAUUCUAUUCAUUUGUUUUGUGUAAAUUGUAUGUAAUUAUUAUUGAGUUCUAAAACUGUUAAUAUGAUAUGAAUUAUUUAAUGAUUGUAAUUAUUGUAAUUGGUAUAACCCCAAAUAAACUAUUUAUUUAUUUAUUUACUACUGCAACUGUCUGAAAUCAUUUAUAAUAUGAUGCUAUCAUCACAUGUUUAGGGUCUUUUAGACCUACACCACUAUCAGCAAUGUUAUCAAAAAUGUUAGAAAUAAUCGGAAGAGAGAAGAAUAAAUAUUAAAGUUGGUAAAAAAAGGGGCAUAUUUUGCAUUGACAGGAAAAGCAUAAGUACUGAUAAAAAUACUGUUUUCUACAAUUAAUUCUUUAGCAAAACACCAAACUAUUCAAACCAGCAGUUAAUCAAAUUACAUUAAUAAAGUCACUGUAAAUAGUUAAAGAUCAUAAGUAUUAGAAGAACAAAGAAGUGACAUAUCUCGCUAUUUCCAAAUAAAACACGGGUUUUAAAAUUUUUUUAUAUAAGAAAAUAAAUAAAAUUAAAUAAUUUAUUUUAAUUUUGUCAAAAAAAAAUUGUUGAUAAAUAAUAUUCAUACAACUUUAACCUUUGACAGUCACAUGUAAACAAUUGAUAGGUAAAACAUAAUAUUAUCUAGAAACAUUUUAAUAUUGUUGUAAAGUUGUUUAUUUGUGACAUCUCAGUUGCUUGAAAUAUCUGUUGGGAUUACAACAUUAAUUAUUGUUAAAUAAAGUUUUUUACUGAAAUUUUUGAACUUCGAUAUUAUUGUGUUUUGAAAGAAAACUUGAUAUGAAAGUUGGAAUAUAAAUAAAUAAUUUAGGUAUUUAACCAGUUGCCAGGUUUUGCAUCCAUAAAGAACAGUGCUUUUAAAAAUACUGUAAUAUAGUUGUAUUUUUGUCUCCUUAUAGUUUUUUACCAGAAUAUACAUUCAUUUCUUUCCAUAUUUAACCCAAACAGAUAUAUUCGGAAUAUGACGAAAUUACCUUUCCAUCUUCUAAGUUUAGUUCAUUGUUUUGAACUCCGCCUAUGCACAUGUAUUUCAUUUUUGUUAACAUAUAUAUCUUUACCUGUUAUUUUUACUUUUUGACUUGCUUUAUUGUCGUAGUGUUUAUUGUAUCUUAUUGUAUUUUACGUAUAUUUGUAAUAUUUUGUUAGUUCUUCAUAUCUUCUGUAAUGUUUUAUUGCAAUGAGCUUUGCUCGUAAAUA
rnacentral:lncRNA from 1 species